rnacentral:misc_RNA from 1 species
UUAACUAUUAUAUAGUACUCAGACAUCACUAAACAAACGAGUUAGGGUCCUCUGGCAGGCGCAGUCAGCCGGAGCCAACGCCUAAGCGGCGGCCUGCCAAAGCAACAAAGGUAUGUAUACACGGUUUGGGAAUAGAACCCAUUUCAAAAAACGGGGCGAUUCUUUAAUGAUCCUUCCGCAGGUUCACCUACGGAAA